rnacentral:rRNA from 1 species
CCUAGAAACAAUCUAUGGUGUAACCUGCCCAGUGAUUUUUAAAUAAAAAGAUUUAACAGUCUUAAAAAAAAUUAAAAGGACGCGGUAAUCUGACCGUGAUAAUGUAGCACAAUCACUUGCCAUUUAAUUGAUGGAUAGUAUGAAUGGUUAAACGAAUUCUACACUGUCUUGAAAAGAGAAAUCAUGAAAUUAAAAUAAUAGUAAAGAUGCUAUUUAAAAUUGUAAGACGAAAAGACCCUAUAGAGCUUAACUAUUUUCUUUUUAUUAUUAUCAAUCUAAUUAAAAAGAAUGGUAGUUUAGUUGGGGCGACUAUCUUCUAAAAAUAACGAAGAUAAGCAAAGUUAAUAAAAAAUUUAUUGUAUAAUUAAUAAAUUUAACAAUUACUAAAGUAGGCUAUAAUGACCCGUUAUUACUAAAUAAUAAGAAUAACGAUUAAUAAAUAAAAGCUACCUUAGGGAUAACAGGAUAAUUUCGUUCUAGAGCUCUCAUCGAAAACAAAGUUUGUCACCUCUAUGUUGAAUUAAGAUAUCCCGAUAAUGCAGAAGUUAUCAAAGGUAGGUCUGUUCGACCUUAAAAAU